rnacentral:sRNA from 1 species
UAUUCUGCCCUACAGGGAAGGAUGAGAAGCUUCGACUAAGGUUCGACUCGAGCGAAGCGAGAGAACGUUGCNNAACGGCCCGAAGGGCGAGGCGCUUUAGCGCCGAGUAAUCCUUCCCCCACCACCA